UUUUGUGCGAAGUUUCACCUUUGACUAAAUUCAUUUGGUCACUCAAUUAAAAUGAAAAGUAAUAAAGAAAUAAAGAAAACUAAAAAAGACUAGCUAAAGAAAAAUAGAAAAGAGGAGGACCUACUCUAUGGGAAGAUUUGGCCCAUCUAGCACCAUAGCAGGCCCAGCCCACGCAGGCCUCCUUCUGCCUCCAGCUACAGGAGGCAGAGAGGUCGUGGCGUGCAUCCAUGGCGCCUUGGCCAUGGAUGGCCUCCACGUCGCCUCCCUACGACCUAUAUAGAUGUUGACCGAAACCCUAGAGCACUCCCUCCCUUUCACCCCUCAAUCCCCCUUCGCCCCCUACCUCUACUGCUCGAAUUCGAGCUGGGAAGAUCCGCGGUGACCGCUGCCUCUCCGUCGAUUGACGCAUCCACAGGCCCCUCCGGCGUGCGGGGGCAUGUCCUGGAGGUCCGUCCCGGUCGACAGCGUCCGUUACGACGGUUGGAGCAAGCAGGGGAGCCGCGUAGAAGGCGUCAUCGUCUUCUUCUUCGUCCGGCCGUCGCAACCUCUCCGUCACCAGCGCCUCUCCGGUCCACCUCAGCCUUCCUCGACCACCUCUUCUGGCUCGUGAUGCUGGAGUCCAGGAGCCAGACGCCACCAUUGAUGACAACUCUUACUACACCGUAGGUGCCUACUACUACGUGCAGGCUGCUGACGAUGACCAGGAGUAGUUUAGGAGGAUCCCAGGCAGGAGGCCUGCGCCUCUUUCGAUCUGUAUCCCAGUUUGUGCUAGCCUUCUUAAGGCAAACUUGUUUUACUUAUGUCUGUACUCAGAUAUUGUUGCUUCCGCUGACUCGUCUAUGAUUGAGCAUUUGUAUUCGAGCCCUCGAGGUCCCUCGCUUGUAUUAUGAUCCUUGUAUGACUUAUUUUAUUUUUAGAGUUGUGUUGUGAUA